rnacentral:lncRNA from 1 species
UUGGGGAUAAAAAACGACAGCAGUCCCUGAAUCUGCUGAGCACUUUCAAAGCAUGAUGACUAAGGGGGAAAUCAAUAUGAAUUAAUGGAUUUAAAUCAACAUUUAAUGUGUUGCUUGAAAAUGAUUGUGUAACACUUUUAAUCAUUUGGGUUUUUCUUCCUCAAAAAGUAGAAUAAUCUUAUACCCUGCUGUGCAAUUACACUGUUCAAUUUGUUAAGAUGUAAAACAAUACUCUCCCACUGAGUAGCGUGGUUUGUGGGACCCUCAGUUCUCAGUCUCUGUAUAAACAGCUCAGUGUGUGACUCAUUUGAUGCGUACUGUGUAAUUCAGGUUGGGUGUAAAUACACCCUGUUCAAACCGACACUGACCAUCCUUCAUGACAGAGCCGGAUACAUUAUCUAAGCACUAUAACUCCAAAAUAAAAUUACAAGGGUGAAAUCACACGGUGACGGUUUGUCACUCCAGUAAUUUCCACAUUAAACCAAAUUAAAAAGCUGCCUUCUCAUUUCUUCUACAGGUUGCUUGUGCCACCUGCAGGAAGUGCUAUCAUAGAUAAUUAACGCUUGUGUCGCAAACACAUGUUUUAUAUGUCAUGUGUGAAUUGAUUGACUGAAUGAAAAAAUGAUUGCCUGGUUGAUUGAUUGAUUUAUUGACUGAACUGGUAAUUGUGUUCUUGAAAUGUUUUCUUUUGUGUUGCUUUUAAAGGGUUCACUUAUGUACUGUUAGGUGUGGCGUGUUAGCAUUGAUUAUUUAUGAGGUCAGACUAAAUUCAGAAAUGCAGCGCACCAAAUUUCUGUCUUACCUUACCUUGGCGAUUGAUUUGUGGACACUGCUCGGGGCUUGUGUGACGGACAAAGACACCAUCUAAUGUCAGAAAUGUCCCUCUCUGACUGUGUGGGUAAAAAAAGAGAGACAGAGUGAGUAAAAUAAUAAAUGAAAAAAAAAAAAAGUCUUUGUCGCCUCUGCCCCCCCUUUUAAGGGAAAUCUGGGAAAUGAAUUCAGCGAUUGUUAUGUUUCACCUGCUGCAAAGUCACCCCAAAAAACACAAAGCUGCUCUCCAACUCUUGCUGCUCGCUGAACUACUUAACCUACUAUUACAUCAUUCUCUCUGGAUCUGAGCCAGACAGCACUUGGCUGCCUGCCAUCCUACUUUUUCGCCUCUCUCUGUUUUGUUGUACUGCACACUCGUACACACUUCUUACACUUUUCUUAACGUCUCAGUGCUGGAUGGCCAUCAGGUUUUUGCCCCGUGUCUCCGACAGUUUGUCAGUCCUCUUUGCAAAGCUGACAGGUUGUUGUUUUAUUUAUGCCACCGCUCGACACAUGCAUGCCACUCAAGAGACAGAUGGACGUGUGUAAUACCAGAUUCCUUGCUGAAUGCUGAAUUGUACGUCUCUUUAAGUAAGCCCUGCAGGAGAAUGCACGCUGAGAGAUGCCCCCCCUCCUUAUCAGUCAAUGGGCAUAAGUCUAUCAGCAGCUCAAGCCUGGAGGAAGAGCUCUGUUUUUAACUGUUAUGAAUAGGUGCUUUUCUUGCUUCCUUUCCUCGAACCCUUUGCCCUGAGGCGGAUACUAUAGAUGUCUUUGCUUGAACUUAACAGAACUCUUAAGUGAGUAGUGCUGAGGGAAGCAAACUUGUAGUGCUUACUGAGUGAUUCUCAGCUUUAGGAUUUAGCUUUUAGAUAUUCUAAACAAAAGUUUUAUUGAUACCUUGAAAACUUUUACGAAAGUUGAUGCUUUUUUUCCCCCUAAGAUUGUAACAACUGAUACAAAAAACUACAAUUUAAUCAUUCAACUCAAUAGUAUAUUUCUUCUCCAAAAGAAGAACAUAUCAUUUAAAUCACUAAUCCUUAAGAAUAGACCAGUACUUAAAUAAAAAGCACAGUCUACCUAAUGAGUGCAUGUGGAGUGGAUACACAAUCCAAAAUAAUUGUGCCAGCUUUAAGCCCUCAAUAAAAGUCAACAAAGGCCCAAUAAUCAGGUGGUUGUGAAGAUAAUCUUGUCAAUUCAUCCUGUGUUGUGAGAUGCAGUGCGAGUAAUUUCUCUUUUCCAAUCUGCAUGAAAAACACAAGAGCCACCCCGCCUGUGAGUUCAGAGUUGACCUGGCACAUAAUGGUGUCUUUGUCAACACCUGUCCCUCCACUUUGCUGGGCUGCUCUCAAACCUUUAUACUGCUAUACUUUAAGUUCAUUGGCUUUCACACACUACCCGCUACCCCCCACCCCACAGACCAUAGAAAAAAAAAACUACAAGGUAGAAUGAUGGGACUUCUAUCUGUUUCGUAUGGCACAGUGGUUCUACAAGCAAGUCAGUGCAUUCAUUGGGUGGUUUCACAGAGUUACAAGGGUCUUUAAAUGCAAUGAAAACAAUUGACUACAGCAAUUUACUGACAUUAGAAAAUGUGAUUUUUAUUUGUGAGAAUUAUACACAUACGUACAAAUCAUAAGCCAAACAACGAUAAAUUUGGCUGAAUUAGAAAAUGUAUAAGUGGUAAAAUGAAGAGCUGUUUGGGAGCCGAAAGAGCUGGCUCUUCUUGGUGAGCUGAGCCGAAUGAUCUGGCUCACUAAAAAGAGCCGUAAUUCCCGUCACUAAUGCUGACUCACAAGCAUAUACUGUAUAUACUAUGGACAACUUGGUUCCGACUUCCGCCAGUAUACAGAUUUGAAGCCGAAAAACUCUUUCUCCCCAUUUCCUGAAAACAACGUUGCACAGUAGCAUUGUACAUGCUCCACCACUUGCGCAGUAGUAUUGUGCGCAUUCGGUGGGAGUGUCGCAGAGAGUCGCUGUGAUGGAACUCAGCUUAAACAGCUUAUCCACUGGUUGAGUUGCACAAUCCUUGUAUGCCCAGAGGCUGUAUCAAGUGUCAAUCAUAGAAACACAAACCCCCUAAUAACUUUUAAAAAGCUGUACAGAAAAAAAGAGAACUUGAGCACAAACCAGUCUUACAAUAACUACAUGUCAUCAUGGGGGGAGAAAAAUUUAUGUUCUUUGUCAUAAAUUUCUAAAGUUUGUCCACAGCUCUAUAAGCUUUGCUGGCGGAGGCAGAAUUUAUGAUCUAUACUGCAGCCUGUCACCAGAGGGUGCUGUUCUCGGAGUGGCUUCACCCAGCAAGGAGGCAGACUCUGUCCAUUCUAUAUACAGUUUUUGCUCACAAGUCUAUAAACGUCAGUAUUUUCAUGAGAUCUGUCCAAAUGUUUAUGCAGCAUUUGACCUCUUCACUUCUUCAAACGAACUGGCGACUCAGUUUGUUGGUACACUAGUGUCUUGAAGCAAAUUUUCAACAAUACAAUGUGCUUCCAAAACAUGUGGCAUUUGCACUGAGAUAAAGGGGCUGUGUCAAAGGAAUCAUUACUGAUUUAGGUUGUGUUACUUUAAAUUUUUAGACAAUUUAUUCUUAAUUUAAAUGUAGCCAACUACCUUGCCCUAAAAUGAAUGCCUAUGAAGUUAGCUUUGCGCCUUGUAUGCUAGCGCAGAUCCCCUGAUUAGGUCUUCUGAGGUGGGUAUAGGUUUUGUCUGACAUCCCUCUUACUCCUCCAAUAUUCCCACUGUUUCUUCCCCAUCACCUGUGUCAGUGUCCAGGUCAGACCCUCCCGGCUACAGCAGAUGUUACAUUAUUCCCCUGAUAAAAACUACACUUCUUUGCCAUUCGGAUAGCAAGUUAAGUGUCUGGACUUCUUCACCACCCCUGGCAAUAACAACAAAGCUGUCUCACAAAUACUUUUAUUCAAAAGUUUAGAUUUAUUUGUUUCAGUUGUUUUCUGCUUUUGUGUUUUUACCUUUCACGAUUUGUGUAUUUGCAGUGCAAUUGCUGAUGUUUAAGCUUCCUGCAGCACUUUUUUCCCAUGCAGUCAAGUUUAUGUCAGCUGUCACAUUUAAGACUUUUGCAUUUUUUUUUUUUCACUGCCUCUCCUUUUACAAUAUGUAAAAAAAAAAAUCUGUUGUGUGUAAAAACAUUACAAAAGCGUAGACUUUUCAUACCUCAGGAUAAUUCCUAUGUCUUUAUUUGCUUUUACCGCCAUUCUCCGAUGAUAAUUAAUGUAGCUGCUGACUGGCGCUAAGUCUGUUUGCACAGCAAGAUGUCCAAGCAUCAAUCUGUCCACAAUGGCUUUAUCAAACUUUCUGUACUAAGCAUUAUCCUUUAAGACUGUAGGCUGUGUUUUCAGUAGGCUUUAGUUUAUCUCAAGUUUGUACAUUUACACAAGGCACAGCAAAUAUUAUUCAUUGUUUGGAUGAGACUGAUUUAUUUUUCCAAGACAUCAUCUUUAACACUUGAUAAUUUGGAGACCUUGGCAGAUGCCUCCAGGUGAAAACAGGUUGAAAUUCACCUCCAGCGUAUUUCUUUGUUUUGAUACUCUUGCAUUGCUCCCUAGCAACAGCUGCUUAAUUCCACUCCAUCUUUUGCCUAUUUGUCAGGUUUCUGGGGGAUUUAAACCUGACUGAGUUGUAUUGAUAGGUAAGGCUCUGAUCCCAAGCAUUUGCAGGGGGAAGUUGACAGUGACAGAGGAAAACAACGUAGAGAAGUGGAAAAAAACAGCAUCCCCCUCUUGUAAAAUAAAGACAACCUCUAAUUCACCUGGCAGAGAAGGAGGCAAGCAUGUCCGGUCCUGAGGAUUGAUGCCAAUGCAGUGAUCUCACAGGUUUGAUCGAGCUCUUGGAAAACAGUUUAUGCUUCAUGAUGGAUUGCCUGAGGGUAAUGCAUUAAAAUUCAAGAUGGCAAAGUUUCCUUGUAAUGCUUUGAUAAUCUUUAUAGACAUCUGAUGAAUUAAUAACUGCUUUACUUGGAAAAAAGAUGAGUUUUUUUGGCUGAUAUUUUGAAGUAGCCUAGCUUUCGUUAUCAUUACAUUGGAAACCUCCCUUUCUCAAGACAGAAUGAUUUACAAACCCC